CUGUCUUUCUCUCUCUUGUGCUGGUCAAUUUUUUUCAUGAGACAGUUUUUGUAAUUUUGUUUUUUGUAAUUUUGUAUGUUUUUUAAAAAAUACGCCUUAAUAAAGACUUUGUGUUUUGUCUUACUGUGCUGUACAAAUUGAAACCUCAAUGUGUUUGUGUUUUCAAACUGUUGAGCUGGGCCUGUUGGCCGGCUGGGCUGUACAUAGUCGUUACAUGGAAGCAUCAUGUACUUACGAGUAAAUAUUUCUAACAGAACUAUAGUGCAAUUUUUUUUGAAAGUACAUAAUUAAUUGUUCCUGUGUCCUUUAAUCCCCCUCCUCCCCCCCUCCCCCCAAACAACACAUCUGUGAAACGCAAUCAAAAUGAUCAUUGAUUUUGGUCAAGUCUUUUUGUUGUAAAAAAAAAACCAACCCUAAAAAGUGUAUGGAUUUAUUAUUAUAGUCUGCAAGCCAUAGAGACUGUUUGACAAAUCAUUUUUAAGUUAUAUUGAUGUGUAUAAGUGGUAUAGUGUGUACAUACAAACCUUUUUUUUGUUCUUUUUUGUUUUGACAUGACACAAAGGGUUGACUCUAUGUCCUGUGGGGACAGAGGUACGCAGUGAUAGACUUUCUGCGACAGAGGUACGCAGUGAUAGACUUUCUCCGACAGAGGUACGCAGUGAUAGACUUUCUCCGACAGAGGUACGCAGUGAUAGACUUUCUCCGACACAAAUUCGAGGGGAAAAUAAUAUAAAAAAAAUUUUUGAACGAAAAUUUAUUAUUGCGCAAAUUUGGAAAACUGCUCUUCAUUAAAUGUUUUGUGUCGGAUUUUAUUUUAUUUUGUGGCCUUUUUUUGGUUUUUUUGCAGACGACAAACAAAAAAUCUAUACUUCUGCUUCUUUUUUGUUGUUUGGAUGUUUUCUCUCAAAACAUUUUGGUAUUUUUAGUAUUCAUUUUAUAUUGUACCUUAAGCCCACAGCACUGUGUUUAUGAAGGAAAAAAUCUUUUAAAAAAUAAAUUUGCUGACACACUU